UUAUUUGAAUAAUCAUUUUGAUUUUGAACAACAUUGUAGUUAUACCCUUCAAAAUAUUGGCUAGUUGGAUCAUAUUUACCUUCCACUUUUUUCCCCUGAAGUUAUUCAGUCUGCACUAAGUGAGAUCACACCAAACAAUGUAAGGUAGCGUAUCAUCUAUCAAUGAGUUUGUUAGUGCUGGCUAAAUUUAUAUGAUUUCUCAGUAUGCCCUUCUGGUUCCAGAAACAUUUGGGAGUCAACAAACUUUGAUGGACAUACUGAGCUAACAGAGCCAUGGUAUGGAACUACAUUUUCUAUUGAAAAAAUCACUGGCUCCACCAUUUAGGUAUAAAGUUGUGAAAGCAAGAAGUGGGGUAGGCCAUACUGUUGUUCUAAUUGAAGAUGGCCUUUCUUUCUCUUUUGGUUGGAACAAGCAUGGGCAACUUGGAACAGAGUCAACCAAAAAUGAGUGUGAAUUAUCUCCAGUACGUUGUCUUAUAACGGAUGAAAAAGAUGUUUCAUGUGGGGCUACAAAAGGUGUUAGUGUUAGUGAUGAAAGCUUGGUUCAGAUUCAAAAAGUGUUGUAGAGCUAACAAAUGGUUCUUCAGAGGAUACUAAAGAGCAAAUCUUGCAAAGGAUAUUUUUUGUUUUGUUUUGCAGAGGAUACCCCUCACAUUUUCCCAAAUUACCCCUUCCUCUACAAUGUUUUUUUGUUUCUGUGUAUUUUGUGCAUCAGGUAAAGUUGGUGGAAGAAAGGAAUAUGAAGCCACUUGAUUCAAAUCUUGUAGCAUUAUCAGCAAGAUGCAGUAAAGACUUGGAGCUGAAUUUGGCUAAGUCAUUCUUGAGUGAGAUGGGCCAAUGUACAACUUUUUAUCCAUAUAACAGCUGUUUGGAGCAUUAGUCUUAAAGAAUUAUGAAAGGCAAAAUGCAACUUUACUUAGUUGGAAUUUGAUGUAGAGAGUAGAUUAGAUGCAAAUUUAGAUAUUGUAAAAAAUAGAAUUGUAUGACAUU